CAGCCGCCGCGGUAAUACGGAGGGAGCUAGCGUUGUUCGGAAUUACUGGGCGUAAAGCGCACGUAGGCGGCUUGGUAAGUUAGAGGUGAAAGCCCGGAGCUCAACUCCGGAAUUGCCUUUAAGACUGCCGAGCUAGUAGGUGAGAGAGGUAAGUGGAAUUCCGAGUGUAGAGGUGAAAUUCGUAGAUAUUCGGAAGAACACCAGUGGCGAAGGCGGCUUACUGGCUCAUUCUAGACGCUGAGGUGCGAAAGCCUGGGGAGCAAACAGGAUUAGAUACCCCAGUAGUCCCUGUCUCUUAUAC
rnacentral:rRNA from 1 species